UAACCUAACAAAAUGAGUUGAGAGAAUUCUCUCAAAAUAUCCCAAAGCUUACCAGUGUUCAUGCUUUCCAGAAUCCGGUGAGCCUCCAUCGUCAGGACUAUCGCGGAUCGACACCGAUCCUCGCUCGUUGACGUCGAAGAAGUAAAAGAGGAUCACCGAUCGAAGUCGAUUCACGCCUUGAGUUCGAAUUUGGGCCCCAAUUAUCCUAGAAUCGCCUCUAGCGUCGUGCAUCUAAGAAAACCAUUUUGUUUUUUAUUUUCGGUGAGCCCUUUGACUACCCAUCGGAGAAUAAGCAGAGGCAUAAGGGUGAUGAUGGUGCUCCCGGAUUUUCGAGAUUAGUUUUGAUUUGAUUUUCUGAUGGAUCUGUCUUCACUGUAGUCAAUGAUGACCGGAGGCGGUGGCGGGCUUUUCAAUUAACAGUGGCGGCGACGGCAUGCUGGAUCUAGCUUAGGCAACAGCGGCGGCAGCGGUUGCACAGCAGGUCUAGGGUUCCAAAACCCUAGUCUGAAGCACAUCUGGCCGUUGGUUCAAGCACAGAUCCAACGAAUGAUGUCAGGUAGGCUUCUGUUGGUGAGGCUGCUGUUGUGGGUUUGCUUUGUAAUAUUUAGAUUUUGGGUUGUAACCUAAAAACAAAGUAUUAAAUAACAUUAGUUAUGUA